rnacentral:rRNA from 1 species
AUUGAACGCUGGCGGCAUGCUUUACACAUGCGAGUCGAACGGUAACAGGCCGCAAGGUGCUGACGAGUGGCGAACGGGUGAGUAAUGCAUCGGAACGUGCCCAGUCGUGGGGGAUAACUACUCGAAAGAGUAGCUAAUACCGCAUACGAUCUAUGGAUGAGAGCGGGGGACCGUAAGGCCUCGCGCGAUUGGAGCGGCCGAUGUCAGAUUAGGUAGUUGGUGGGGUAAAGGCUCACCAAGCCAACGAUCUGUAGCUGGUCUGAGAGGACGACCAGCCACACUGGGACUGAGACACGGCCCAGACUCCUACGGGAGGCAGCAGUGGGGAAUUUUGGACAAUGGGCGCAAGCCUGAUCCAGCAAUGCCGCGUGCAGGAAGAAGGCCUUCGGGUUGUAAACUGCUUUUGUACGGAACGAAACGGCUCUGGUUAAUACCCGGGGCUAAUGACGGUACCGUAAGAAUAAGCACCGGCUAACUACGUG